rnacentral:rRNA from 1 species
GAUGAACGCUAGCGGGAGGCUUAACACAUGCAAGUCGAGGGGUAAAUGGUAGCAAUACUAUGAGACCGGCGGACGGGUGCGUAACGCGUAUGCAACAUACCUUGUGCAGGGGGAUAGCCCGUGGAAACGCGGAUUAAUAUUCCAUAGUCCAGCUAUAUCGCAUGGUAUAGUUGGUAAAGAUUUAUCGGCACAAGUUUGGCAUGCGUCUGAUUAGCUUGUUGGUAGGGUAACGGCCUACCAAGGCUACGAUCAGUAGGGGUUCUGAGAGGAUUAACCCCCACACUGGUACUGAAACACGGACCAGACUCCUACGGGAGGCAGCAGUGAGGAAUAUUGGUCAAUGGGCGGAAGCCUGAACCAGCCAUCCCGCGUGAACGAUGAAUCCCUUCGGGGUGUAAAGUUCUUUUAUAUGUGAGCAGUGCUUCUUAUAUUAACAGUAUGGGGAGAGAGAUAUUAGCAUAUGAAUAAGCAACGGCUAACUCCGUGCCAGCAGCCG